UACGGGGGGAGCAAACGUUGUUCGGAAUCACUGGGCGUAAAGGGCGUGUAGGCGGCUGAAUAAGUGGGAUGUUAAAUCCCCCGGCUCAACCGGGGACCUGCAUCUCAUACUGUUCAGCUCGAGCACAUCAGAGGAGACUGGAAUUCCCUGUGUAGCGGUGAAAUGCGUAGAUAUCAGGAGGAACACCGGUGGCGAAGGCGGGUCUCUGGGCCGAGAUUGACGCUGAGGAGCGAAAGCGUGGGGAGCGAACAGG
rnacentral:rRNA from 1 species